UACGGAGGGGGCUAGCGUUGUUCGGAAUUACUGGGCGUAAAGCGCACGUAGGCGGCUUUGUAAGUUAGAGGUGAAAGCCCGGGCUCAACUCCGGAAUUGCCUUUAAGACUGCAUCGCUAGAAUUGUGGAGAGGUAAGUGGAAUUCCGAGUGUAGAGGUGAAUUCGUAGAUAUUCGGAAGAACACCAGUGGCGAAGGCGACUUACUGGACACAUAUUGACGCUGAGGUGCGAAAGCGUGGGGAGCAAACAGG
rnacentral:rRNA from 1 species